CAAGGACACCGACCCAUCUGGGAGAGGGAGGGUACCUCACCACUGCCCUCCAGAUGAUCUCCUUGACACCACAGGGUGGGGAAUGUCCUGCACCAGGAGGAGCAGGUUGGAGCCUAAGAAGGCUUUGCACCUCUUCAGCUCCAAGUCUGGGAUCCAUGCUGCACAAAGAAACCCAGGGACCUCACCACCAAGUGGCACCUUGAGCCCCUCCACUUCUUUUUUCCCAUGUGUCAGAAUAAGGGUCCUGGGCAGAAGUUUCCAGGCAGCAGCUCCCUCGCAGGACUUCUGCUUUCAGAAGCUAAUGUUCCACAAAGUCUCCCCAGGGCAAGAAGACAGAGGGCUGGGGUUCUGGAGGAGGAGGCCAGGAAAAAUUCCCCUGGUGCUCGGGGAGGAGGUGUGGGGUCUGCAGACCCCAGGUGAGCUCCUGUCUCAGGAAGGCACCGGGUCCACUCAGGUGACCAGCGUGCUGGGUACACUCAAGACGGGAGCACUGGCUUAGCAGCAUGGAGACCUGGUCCACACCUGCCUUCCAGAGACGGGCAGAGGAGCUGACUGGUCAAAAUAACCCUGCUCCUUGCACGAGGGAGUAAAAUCUAUGUGUGCUCGGGUGGAGUGCUGUGGUCAAUGUCAACCGUGCACACGACAGCACCUGCCAAAGCAUUAGAGGUUGUCCAGAUAUAACUCACAGUCUGUAUUGAGUGCCUACUGUGGCUAGGUGCAGUGUCGACGACGUAGGUAGCAAAGAAGUGUAAGAGCUUCGCAGGAAGAGAAGCUGGGAGAAGCAGAGAAUAAGGCAAUAAAGGGGUGAUCUAGAGAGAUUCCUCUGGAUUUUCACAUGAAUUGGCUUGGGCUCCCGAGUCCUGACUCCCUCGUCAGAACGUCUGUCUGUCCUGCUCAGGACCUUUCAGGCCGCAAGGUGGCUGAGGCCUACUUCAUGCUAAUGCAAGGUCAGAAGCGAGAGCACUUGAUCUCCUAACAGAGAAAGACGAUAAUAAUGAUGGUUACUUUUUUCUUUUUUACUUUUGCAGUACCGAGGCUGAACCCAGGGCCUUCACAGUGACUCCCACCCCUAGCCCUUUUGUACUUUUUGAUUUUGAGAUGGGGUCUCCCUAAGUCACUAAGUAACCCAGGCUGAGCUGGAACUUGGGAUUCUCCUGCCUCAGCCUCCUAGAAUGCUGGGAGGGCAGGUGUGUGCCACCCGCCCAGCCAUGGCUAACAUUUUUAACACGCACUCUACACGCCAGUUUUUAAAUACUAACUCAUUUAAUUUUCAAGCCAUCCUAUGAGGAGGACAAAACAGUCGGUCCCCUUUGUAGUAGGGACUCAGGGCACAGAUGAGGGUGAGCUUAUUUCAGGAGCCCCUGGGGAAGGGCCGACAGCAAAUCUGAACUCAGGAAGGUGAGAGUCAGGUCUCAGAGCGCAGGUGACAGGAGGGUAUCCCCGCUCUGUCUCUAAGCUCUGCGUCCCUGGGGGUCCAGAG
rnacentral:lncRNA from 1 species